GGCUGGGCUGGGCCGGGCUCGGCGGGGGCGGUUGGCUUCUGUGGCAGGUGGGGCGCGCGGGCGCUCAGCGCUGACAGGAAUCUCCCCGCUCUCCCCUCCCGCCGCGCCUCAGCCCUGAACAACUCCUCAGGGAGGGGUGAAAGCAAGCUGAACAACUUGUCAGGGACAGGCGAAAGGAAACGCGUCCAAUAACAUUUGUUUGGUUGUGUUAGUUUCUCGCUGCUGCUCUCUCUAGGUGCGAUGCCGGCAAUUGGGGGGAUGUUACCCCCUAACCUGAGAUGCCACUCGAGCCCGGGGGUGGGGGCGUCCUCACCAGCUGUAGCCCCACCUCGUCCUGAAAGUCGUCCCGGGCAGCUCUCCUCAGAGUUCCUCCGGCAGUUCAGGCUGCUGCCUUAAGUGUGAAAAUUGAGAUGCGCCAAAUGCCUCAGAUGUCCACGGCACGCUGAGGUGAGCGCCGAGCACCUGUGGGGUUUGAGGCUGUGGCCCCGGCACGGCACUGAGGGAUGGGGCCAUGCCACCCAGCGAGGCUGAUGGCCGGCCCUGUGCCACGACAGCAUAGUGCCAAGACCCACCAACAACCGUCAGAGCUGUGCCUGCAGCCCAGCGUGGACCUGCUGCUCCCCAGCGGCAGCGAGGCGGUGGGAGCUGGAGGCUUCCAGAAAGUUCCUGAGGCAGGGAUUCGAUCUCUUCAUUUUGCAAAAAGAACUUGGUGUCUUCAUUGACUUCACAGUACAAACUCUUCAAGCAAAACCUGACUUCUCUAAGGACUAUGAGAUUACUGGGAUAUACUCAGCAGCUGCUCUUCAUGUGAACAACUACAUCCAUAUAACUUUUUUUGCCUCUACUCCUGAAUGCAGAUGAUGAUGACUAAAACCCCUUCUGAACAGCCCAUAUGUAUGGGAAAAGUGUUGCUGAGUUAAGUCUUCAAAUGAGUCCCAAAUAUGCCAUGAAGGAGGGAAGAAAUCUUCCUUAUUUCAGAAGCUGCUAAAACCACCAAUUCAGGAUUUGUACCUGCAGACUCUGGGAAGUACAUGUGAAUUGUUAAAUUUUCAUCCUCUUAAGGCUGAUCGACAGUAAUUUUCUCAGCUCCUGAGCACAGGCUGAAACAGAAAACAGAUUGGGCAGAUGUUAUGCAGUACUUUGUGUAGAUAUUCUCAAUUUGAGACCCACAGCGCUGAUGAAAAUGUCUUGAAGAGAUGCACUGUCCUGAAGUAAGUGUUAUACGGAGGCCAAAUGCCAUCCCAAUUAUGGCUAACUUAGUCACAGAAUUACCUGGAUUUGAGGUUUUCCUUGAACUGAGAAUAUGAAUCACUCUUGAUUAUUUGAGUGUUUUUCUGUUUGAAUUAUGGGGGAUUGAGGUAUGGGAUAGGGUCUGAAGAAAGAACAAUGGCAUCUUUGCAUGUAAUGUGAAGAUUAAUUAUUUCACCUCCUGGCUCUGAAGAGUCAUCUGAUGAAAUAACUGGUAGCACCAUAAAAGCCCAUCCCUGUUAUAAAUAUUUACAUAAGAGGACCCAUAGGUACCUGGACUGUCACACUUGAAAUCCACUGUUACAAUUUCCCACCCUCCAGCUGGAGCAAACACACAAUUUUUUUUUUCUGGACCCCUCUUUUAGCUGAGGCAUGAAGCUUUUUUUAAAUUAAACCAAAAAAUGUAUUUAUCAUUAUGAAUUACACUCAACAAAAUUUUUUUGAUUGUUUAAAUAAAAUUGGAUCU